UUUCCGUAGGUGAACCUGCGGAAGGAUCAUUAUUGAAUGAACACUUCUGGCUUUAUGCUGUUGUGCUGGCCCUUUGGGCAAUGUGCACACGGCUCUGGUCACUUGUUUCUUCUGUUCCACCUGUGCACUGCCUGUAGACACGCUGUGUCUAUGAUAUUUGUUAACACACAACAAUGUUAGUUGGCAUGUUAUAUAUAAUAAUAAAAUAUACAACUUUCAACAACGGAUCUCUUGGCUCUC
rnacentral:misc_RNA from 1 species